UAGGGAAUCUUCCGCAAUGGACGAAAGUCUGACGGAGCAACGCCGCGUGAGUGAAGAAGGAUUUCGGUUCGUAAAACUCUGUUGUUAGGGAAGAAAAAAUGUAUACUAACUAUAUACAAAAGAGACGGUACCUAACCAGAAAGCCACGGCUAACUACGUGCCAGCAGCCGCGGUAAUACGUAGGUGGCAAGCGUUGUCCGGAAUUAUUGGGCGUAAAGCGCGCGCAGGUGGUUUAGAAAGUCUGAUGUGAAAGCCCACGGCUCAACCGUGGAGGGUCAUUGGAAACUAAUAAACUUGAGUGCAGGAGAGAAAAGUGGAAUUCCUAGUGUAGCGGUGAAAUGCGUAGAGAUUAGGAGGAACACCGGUGGCGAAAGCGGCUUUUUGGCCUGCAACUGACACUGAGGCGCGAAAGCGUGGGGAGCAAACAGG
rnacentral:rRNA from 1 species